UGGGGAAGGACUUAUUUCUGGAGAUUGCUCCUUGAUAAAGCUUUCCCCUGUGAACCUAGAAUAUUCUGAUACAGGUGGUUUCUGUGAAACCAAACUAGAAGACAUUGGACCCCUUUCCUUGUUUUCAACGUAGUACUUAUUGCAGAGCCAGCUUAGGUGUGAAGCAGUGUUUGUCUGGAACUGGAAGCUCUUGAGUUACAUUCAGUCUCGCUAUUGCAUGAUUGGCUUUGCUGUGUCAAGCCAACGAGUCCAAGUGGCCUUCAAACUUCAUCCUGCCUUACUGUGCUGCUGAU